CAGCAGCCGCGGUAAUACGUAGGGUGCAAGCGUUAAUCGGAAUUACUGGGCGUAAAGCGUGCGCAGGCGGUUAUAUAAGACAGAUGUGAAAUCCCCGGGCUCAACCUGGGAACUGCAUUCGUGACUGUAUAGCUAGAGUACGGCAGAGGGGGAUGGAAUUCCGCGUGUAGCAGUGAAAUGCGUAGAUAUGCGGAGGAACACCGAUGGCGAAGGCAAUCCCCUGGGCCUGUACUGACGCUCAUGCACGAAAGCGUGGGGAGCAAACAGGAUUAGAUACCCCCGUAGUCCCUGUCUCUUAUAC
rnacentral:rRNA from 1 species